rnacentral:rRNA from 1 species
GAUGAACGCUGACAGAAUGCUUAACACAUGCAAGUCUUUGGCGAAGCUGUGCUUGCACAGCCUAGCCAAGGCGGACGGGUGAGUAACGCGUAAGGAACUUGCCCUGCAGUCAGGGAUAACAGACGGAAACGACUGAUAAGACCUGGUAAAGUCAGGCGGACCCAUGUCCAGCCUGAUGAAAAGAGAUGCUGCAGGAGAGCCUUGCGUCCUAUUAGCUUGUUGGUGGGGUAACGGCCCACCAAGGCGAUGAUAGGUAGCCGGCCUGAGAGGGUGGACGGCCACAAGGGGACUGAGAUACGGCCCUUACUCCUACGGGAGGCAGCAGUGGGGAAUAUUGGACAAGGGGGGCAACCCUGAUCCAGCAAUUCUGUGUGCACGAUGAAGGUUUUCGGAUUGUAAAGUGCUUUCAGCAGGGAAGAAAAAAAUGACGGUACCUGCAGAAGAAGCGACGGCUAAAUACGUG